rnacentral:rRNA from 1 species
GGAUUAGAUACCCUGGUAGUCCACGCCGUAAACGAUGAGUGCUAGAUUUCGGAAACUUAGUUUUCGGUUUCGAAGUUAACACGUUAAGCACUCCGCCUGGAGACUACGAUCGCAAGAUUAAAACUCAAAGGAAUUGACGGGGGCUCGCACAAGUGGUGGAGCAUGCGGCUUAAUUCGAUGCUACGCGAAAAACCUUACCAACCCUUGACAUGGUGGUCGUGGAUCUAGAGAUAGAUCUUUCAGUUCGGCUGGACCACACACAGGUGUUGCACGGCUGUCGUCAGCUCGUGCUG